rnacentral:rRNA from 1 species
CCUACGGGGGGCUGCAGUAAGGAAUAUUGGUCAAUGGACGAAAGUCUGAACCAGCCAUCCCGCGUGUAGGAUGAAAGCCCUAGGGGUUGUAAACUGCUUUUAGCAGAGAAGAAAAGCUUUCAUUAAUGAGAGUCUGACGGUAUCUGCAGAAUAAGCACCGGCUAACUCCGUGCCAGCAGCCGCGGUAAUACGGAGGGUGCGAGCGUUAGCCGGAAUGACUGGGGCGAAAGGGGAGUAUUGAGGAGGAGGUGAAAUCUUGUCGCUUAACGAUAAAAUUGCCAAUGAUCCUGGUACUCUUGAAUUGGGUUGAGGUUAGCGGAAUGUGACAUGUAGCGGUGAAAUGCAUAGAUAUGUCAUGGAACACCAAUUGCGAAGGCAGCUAACUGGGCCUUGAUUGACGCUGAGGCACGAAAGCGUGGGUAGCGAACAGGAUUAGAUACCCGGGUAGUC